CUGCAACCUGUCCUGUGGGUGGAGAGAUUCUGGGUUCCCCAACUCUGAUUUGAGGACCUCCUCAGCCCCUGCCUGGUGACAGUUGGAUCCCCUUCUGCUAUCAGUGUUUGCCUCUGAAGAAUCCACAAACCUCAGGAUGCAGUCACCGUCAUCUGUGAUUUUCUAGACAAACUGUGGAUGUGGAGAAGCUUCACUCUGGGGCCUGCACAGCAUUAGUUACAAAAGGAAUUUCUCCCUCCUUCGCGAUCAUGGUCAGCAACUGUCUCGAGACUGCAUCUGAAUCGGAGGACCUAGUAGAGCCCUUUGGACUGGACAGCAGUUCUCCAGGGCAGCUUCGAAGGUCCAGCAGGCCCUAACAGACUUGUUGGACAACACUGCCUUGAUGUCCGGAUUCAGCUGCCUUGUUUCUUAGUCAAAGGACUCCAAUAAUGACAAAGAGCCUGCGUUCAUUUUCUAAGAUUAUAAGUUAGCAUUUCCUGGG
rnacentral:lncRNA from 1 species